rnacentral:rRNA from 1 species
UAGGGAAUCUUCGGCAAUGGACGAAAGUCUGACCGAGCAACGCCGCGUGAGUGAAGAAGGUUUUCGGAUCGUAAAACUCUGUUGUUAGAGAAGAACAAGGACGUUAGUAACUGAACGUCCCCUGACGGUAUCUAACCAGAAAGCCACGGCUAACUACGUGCCAGCCGCCGCGGUAGUACGUAGGUGGCAAGCGUUGUCCGGCUUUAUUGGGCGUAAAGCGAGCGCAGGCGGUUUCUUAAGUCUGAUGUGAAAGCCCCCGGCUCAACCGGGGAGGGUGAUUGGGAACGGGGAGACGUGAGUGCAGAAGAGGAGAGUGGAAUUCCAUGUGUAGCGGUGAAAUGCGUAGAUAUAUGGAGGAACACCAGUGGCGAAGGCGGGUCUCUGGUCUGUAACUGACGCUGAGGAUCGAAGGCGUGGGGGGCAAACAGA